rnacentral:rRNA from 1 species
UACGUAGGGUGCAAGCGUUGUCCGGAAUUAUUGGGCGUAAAGAGCUCGUAGGCGGUUUGUUGCGUCGGCUGUGAAAUCCCGAGGCUCAACCUCGGGUCUGCAGUCGAUACGAGCAAACUAGAGUGUUGCAGGGGAGACUGGAAUUCCUGGUGUAGCGGUGAAAUGCGCAGAUAUCAGGAAGAACACCAACGGCGAAGGCAGCUCGCUGGGACGGUACUGACGCUGGAGACGCGAAAGCGUGGGGAGCAAACAGG